rnacentral:rRNA from 1 species
GGGCCCGAGUUGUAAUUUGUAGAAGAUGCUUUGGGUGUGGCCCCGGUCUAAGUUCCUUGGAACAGGACGUCAUAGAGGGUGAGAAUCCCGUAUGUGACUGGGUGCUUUCGCCCGUGUAAAGCUCUUUCGACGAGUCGAGUUGUUUGGGAAUGCAGCUCAAAAUGGGUGGUAAAUUUCAUCUAAAGCUAAAUAUUGGCCAGAGACCGAUAGCGCACAAGUAGAGUGAUCGAAAGAUGAAAAGCACUUUGGAAAGAGAGUUAAACAGUACGUGAAAUUGUUGAAAGGGAAGCGCUUGCAACCAGACUCGCAUGCCGUCGAUCAUCCUGGGUUCUCCCUGGUGCACUCGGCGGCGUUCGGGCCAGCAUCGGUUUUGGUGGUGGGAUAAAGGCCUUGGGAAUGUGGCUCCUCUCGGGGAGUGUUAUAGCCCUCGGUGCAAUGCCGCCUACCGGGACCGAGGACCGCGCUUCGGCUAGGAUGCUGGCGUAAUGGUUGUAAGCGACCCGUCUUGAAACACGGACCAAGGAGUCUAACAUCUAUGCGAGUAUUUGGGUGUCAAACCCAUAUGCGUAAUGAAAGUGAACGGAGGUGAGAACCCUUAAGGGUGCAUCAUCGACCGAUCCUGAUGUCUUCGGAUGGAUUUGAGUAAGAGCAUAGCUGUUGGGACCCGAAAGAUGGUGAACUAUGCCUAAAUAGGGUGAAGCCAGAGGAAACUCUGGUGGAGGCUCGCAGCGGUUCUGACGUGCAAAUCGAUCGUCAAAUUUGGGUAUAGGGGCGAAAGACUAAUCGAACCAUUGAUUACUGGGUGGUCAAGAGACACUGUGAGAGCAGUGUUUAGUCCUAGGUCAUAGGGCAACAUUAUCAAAUUGUACGGGGACGUCCCGCUAUAAAUCCAAGCUACCGCAGUUGCCGCGAAAGCGCAGCACGCACCGGGUUAACGACCUCGGGGAUGGUAAUAACGCAAGGAUAGGGAUAAUCCGCAGCCAAGUCCUACCGGUGUGUACCACACCCACGGAUGCAGUUCACAGACUAGAUGGUAAUGGGCCGCGCUCUAUGGAGCGCGGCUUAAGUUAUAGUCGAACCGCCAGGAGACUGGUCUGUACAGAGGAAGAGCCU